AGGGAGUACGGUCGCAAGACCGAAACUCAAAGGAAUUGACGGGGGCCUGCACAAGCGGUGGAGCAUGUGGUUUAAUUCGAUACAACGCGCAAAACCGUACCAGCCCUUGACAUAUGAACAACAAAACCUGUCCUUAACAGGAUGGUACUGACUUUCAUACAGGUGCUGCAUGGCUAUCGUCAGCUCGUGUCGUGAGAUGUUUGGUCAAGUCCUAUAACGAGCGAAACCCUCAUUUUGUGUUGCUGAGACAUGCGCCUAAGGAGAAAUUGCCACCGAGUGACGUGCCAGCGCUACUACUUGAUUGAGUGCCAGCACGUAGCUAUGCUUUCAGCAAGAAUUUCACCAUUGGGAGCCGGUGCCUUUCGAAGCACUUUCACGUGUGAACCGAAGUCGUCUUGCCCAAGACCCACGGAGACCUACCUAUAGUGACGUCAAAGUACCAGUGAGCAUGGAGGUUUGGUUGAAAUUGGUUACGACGACGUCGAGUUGGCGGCGGAGGAAGACUCGGCAUGAAGGCCAGAAAAUGGUGUGGAACGUAGUGGUAAUAGUACGCGCCCCGCUCCGAAACAAAGAAAAAGGUGCGUGCCGCACUCACGAGGGACUGCCAGUGAGAUACUGGAGGAAGGUGGGGAUGACGUCAAGUCCGCAUGGCCCUUAUGGGCUGGGCCACACACGUGCUACAAUGGCAAUGACAAUAGGAAGCAAGGCUGUAAGGCGGAGCGAAUCCGGAAAGAUUGCCUCAGUUCGGAUUGUUCUCUGCAACUCGGGAACAUGAAGUUGAAAUCGCUAGUAAUCGCGGAUCAGCAUGCCGCGGUGAAUAUGUACCCGGGCCCUGUACACACCGCCCGUCACACCCUGGGAAUUGGUUUCGCCCGAAGCAUCGGACCAAUGAUCACCCAUGACUUCUGUGUACCACUAGUGCCACAAAGGCCUUUGGUGGUCUUAUUGGCGCAUGCCACAGUGGGGUCUUCGACUGGGGUGAAGUCGUAACAAGGUAGCCGUAGGGGAACCUGUGGCUG
rnacentral:rRNA from 1 species